rnacentral:lncRNA from 1 species
AAGGCAGAGGAGUAACCUCAUGGUCUCCAAUUUCCCAAACUUGGGAUAUUUUAUCCUGGAAAGUGGCAUAAAUUCCACACAAACAUACUGUGGUGUAAAUGCCUGAAGUAACUAGGAAAAUAAAAUUAACAUUCACACUUUUAAGGAAAAGGUACAGCAUUGAAGAGGCUUUCAGGGUAGGGCAUAACUGCAUUAUCUGAGCGUUCCCUAGGCUCCCAACCUUAGAUGCUAUCGCGCUGGGGAAACUUGGUGUGCUAGCUCUAAGGAACACCACGGAGCGUGGAGUGGAGUGGAGACACCACGGCUAGGCUCUGUAAUCAGGUGGGGCCUCGAUUGUUCUUGUGCACAAAGCUGCACUUUUUGCCACCCUAAGCCAAAGACCUGUCAUGUUUUGACAAAUGCUGUACCCUAGUGUACUUUUUGCUCAUUAUAAUAUCAUUAUAAUACCAAAACACACCUCCAUCCCAAAAGCUACCCGCCUCCAAGGUGCGACCACCCCUCACUGAGCAUGCGCUCUGAAUUUCUCGGAGCCUAUUACUUUAAACGGAAACGGGAAAACUUUACACCAAUCAUAACUAAGAUAUGCUUGACUAGAGCCACUCAAGCUCCACCUAAAAGAUAGAAAAUAAUAUAAAUUGGCCCAAGAGAGAGGGGAUGUUAGGGAAGAUACCAUCGUCAGGGGAGAUACCAUCCCAAGGACAUACAACAUCCUUAGGACCUCCUGACUCCUGGGAUCAGUCGACGGGCUGAGCCUCUCUUCCCCCCCCAUUGGGACGCCUUUGGUUUUGAGGUUUGGAAAUACUCCUACUUUCCAGUUCCUGUUGACCCAAAAAAGCAGCUGUCUGGACUUUCAGCCGGAGACCCUUCAUUGCCAGAGACCGGGCAGCUGUGGUAAAUGGUGUUACCAAAGCAGAGCUCAGUGCUGCACCCUGCUCACAGCAGUCAUUGAACAUUGAUAAAUUUCAAUGUGGGAGUACUUGUUUCUUCCCCCUGGAGAAAAGGAGCUUGAAUAGGUUGCACAGAAGUGGAUGUCUGCACUCGAGUUACCAUGCUCCUGGACAACCUUACUGUAAAUGCGAAAACAUCUUGCAGCAUCAUCUUCUACUUCAGCCUUCUGGAAGAUUGAUGCAGAGAAGCCCAGUUGGUUUUGGUACCAUAUCCACCAGUUCUGCGGGCACUUCAGAAGCAUGUGAGGCUUUGCUCAGUUCCCUGUGCUCUUUGGCUGAGCCUGAAGACAGCAGAAGACCUCAGACGCAUUAUUCCUUGGCCUCUGCAUUUGGGAAAAAAUAAAUGGAGAAUAAAACUGAUCUGAGACACUUCUGGUGUCCCCA